rnacentral:rRNA from 1 species
GACGAACGCUGGCGGCGUGCUUAACACAUGCAAGUCGAACGGGAUCCGGGCUUUCGGGUUUGGUGAGAGUGGCGAACGGGUGAGUAACACGUGAGUAACCUGCCCCCUUCUUUGGGAUAACGUCGGGAAAUCGGCGCUAAUACUGGAUAUUCUUGCUGCAUCGCAUGGUGUGGUUUGGAAAGGGUUUCUGGUGGGGGAUAGGCUCGCGGCCUAUCAGCUUGUUGGUGGGGUGAUGGCCUACCAAGGCUUUGACGGGUAGCCGGCCUGAGAGGGUGUCCGGCCACACUGGGACUGAGACACGGCCCAGACUCCUACGGGAGGCAGCAGUGGGGAAUAUUGCACAAUGGGCGCAAGCCUGAUGCAGCGACGCCGCGUGAGGGAUGACGGCCUUCGGGUUGUAAACCUCUUUCAGUAUGGAACAAGGAUCCUUCUUUUGGGGGGUUUGAGGGUACGUGCAGAAGAAGCGCCGGCUAACUACGUG